rnacentral:rRNA from 1 species
AUUGAACGCUAGCGGGAUGCCUUACACAUGCAAGUCGAACGGAGUGGCGAACGGGUGAGUAAUGUAUCGGAACGUGCCCAGUAGCGGGGGAUAACUACCCGAAAGCGUAGCUAAUACCGCAUACUAUUUGACCGGCCGGUAUAGGAUUAGCUAGUUGGUGGGGUAAAGGCACACCAAGGCGACGAUCCGUAGCUGGUUUGAGAGGAUGACCAGCCACACUGGAACUGAGACACGGCCCAGACUCCUACGGGAGGCAGCAGUGGGGAAUUUUGGACAAUGGGCGAAAGCCUGAUCCAGCCAUGCCGCGUGUGUGAAGAAGGCCUUCGGGUUGUAAAGCACUUUUAGCAGGGAAGCGGUACCUGCAGAAUAAGCACCGGCUAACUACGUGCCAGCAGCCGCGGUAAUUC